NNNNNNNNNGGGUAGUGGUGGCUCAGUGAGGUGGUGGUGGCUCAGUGGGACAGUGGGAAGCUCAGCUGGGAUGUGGUUGCUCAGCAGGGUGGUGGUGGCUCAGCGGAGUGGGGGGGGGGCUCAGUUGGGCAGGUGGGAGGCUCAGCUGGGAGGUGAAUGGCUCAGCUGGGUGGUAGAAGGCUCAACUGGGUGGGCUCAGUUGGUUAUUGAGGGCUUAGAAAGUGGGAGGUUCAAUGGGGGGGGCUCAGUUGGGAGGUGGAUGGCUCAGUUGGGUGGGGGGGGGCUCAGUUGGGAGGUGGGAGCCCAAUUGGGAGGUAGAUGGCUCAGCUGGGCUGUAGGAGGCUCAACUGGGCAGGCUCUAUUGGUUAUUGAGGGCUUAGGAAGUGGGAGGCUCAAUGGGGAGGGCUCAGUUGGUAGGUGGAUGGCUCAGUUGGGCGGUAGAAGGCUCAGUUGGGUGGUGGGGGAUCAGCUGGGAGGUGGAUGGCUCAGUUGGGUGGGGGGGGGCUCAGUUGGAUGGGGGGGCUCAGUUGGGCAGUGGCUUCCAUUGGCCACAGCUUGGGGCCACCACAUCCCCAGCUCACCCCGCUGCAGACGCAGAGCUGGUGCUGCCUGCAUCCCACAGUCGCUCUCACGUGCUCCUGCCACGGUGAAUUUGCACCAAACCCCACAAGAAUGGCCCAGCACAACCCCUCUCCUCAGCCUUCCUUCUCACCUUCAGUCCCGGCUAGGCAGAAAUCCAGGAAAAGUUUGCCUCUCUCUCUUUUAUAAUAGGAAAAUUUAUUUCUCGGUUUCCCUUGGCUUAGCAGAAGAAUCAAUGUUCUGUGCACUGUUUUCCAAGCUCUUCCCUCAUUUGCAUUAAGGAGAUAACAAGGCAGAAAAUAUUACCCUGAAGCAUCCGGACUGAGAAGAGGGACCACAGAGCCUUCCCUGCAGCCAUGGAGGAGGACGAGCGGCUCCAUCCCGCAGCACGGGGACACCCCGGCCCCCUGCAGCCUCACACA
rnacentral:lncRNA from 1 species